ensembl:lncRNA
UUUUAAAUAUAAAUAUGAGACUGAGUGAUAAUGAAAUGAAAUGACUACAAAGUAAGUUGUUGUCAUGGUUUUAUGAUUUUCGGUUAUUGGUACUCUACAUCAUAACAUCAUGUAGUGAAUGUACCUGGUUCUCAGAAGAGGACUACUACAUUCCCCACGGUACUUUGCUCCUCUGUUACCAUUUUCCAGCCGGAGGGAAAAGAUAAAAGCUCGCAGUAUAAAAACUUGCAGAUCACGAGACCUCAGCCCUUUUUCCGCCCGUCUCUCGUCUUGGCAGCACCUCGCUCUCCAGCCGUCUUAUCGUCGGUAGUAGAGUAAGGCCUACCUUGAUUUUGGGACAUUCUCUCUCUCCCUAUUGGAUUUAUCAGCUUAAAUUGUAAUUAUAUUGUAUUAUAGUGUGUUGUUUUGCAUUCCGAUAUUUUAUUUAGUAAAUUAGUUUGUUUCUCCUCAGAUUGUUGCCGCUGUUCUUUGCUCUCAAGGCCAUCUCCUUACCCUUUUCCCCUUUUCCCUUUUCCCAGGGCGUGGACCCGUGGAUCCCCCGUCCCCUUCGUCACAGAACUGGGCCGAAUGCCCGUAAACCUUUUGACAGUGUGUACUUUCAUGUAGCUAAUUUAUAUCUCUUGCAGGAAACAUUUUUUCAAGGUUUACACUGGAUCGUCAUCAUAGAAGUAAGAUUUGAGUUUUUCACAGGCUUGUCUCACUACAGAAAGAACAGAAAUCAGUACGAUAAACUGUUUGUAUUUUAUGAUAAGAUAAAGACCUUUCCCCAAGAUUAUCAGUUCUCAGAAGAUAAAUUCCUUAUAGGAGAGACACAUGGUUUUCAAUGUAUUGAACAGAAUACUUAAGGUUGUCUGGAGAAACUUCAUGUUUAAUUUCUUCUCCUGACCAGGGAGCAAUUCUGUAAAUCUUCCUACAGAUCACCUGGAUUCUUCUGCUGUCUCCUGCUCUGAGAGCUAGCAGCCCAGCACCUCUGCUGUCUCCAACUGUCUGAUUUUCCAGCCGAAAUUCAUCAUCUGUGCUCAGCUGAGGUGGAUGCAGGUUGUCAUGAAAGAAAAGAUCAGUGCAACAUUUGGGAACCAUUCAGGUGUAUAUUUUUAAAUUCAGUCUCUCUUUCAGGACUGAUGUAUUCCUUCUGAUUACAUUAGUGAUAUAAGUGUUCCUGUACAUCCUUACCCAUUUUCACCUAUCAUGUACUUCUUUCUCCCCACUUCCCCCAUUACCCAUAUUCUAGUAGGAGCUUACUGUUAGAUUGCUCCUUCUGGGACCUAGUUGUUGACUUCUAUCUCAUUUAGUCAUUGUCUAAACAAUGAAACUAGUUGCCAAACUUAAAUGGUGGCACUGAGCAUGUUGUGUAUGCCACUUUGACUGCUCAGGGAACAGAACAAGUCAGCUGAGCCCAGCAAAUCCUUUUCUCUCAGGUAUGUGCUACCCUCUUCCUAUGGAUGCUACCUGCUAUUUCUUGUGAAUUGAUGAACUUCCCAGAUUCAUUUUUUAAACAUGACUGUUAAUGAAACCAUGAUUAUUGUCAACACCAUAAAACAAAUACAAAACAAAAGCCUGCUGAAAAAAAACCAGGGAAAAUACAAAGCAUAAUGGCGUCUCCAGAAAAGUGACUUGCUUAGUUAAUAGGGCUAAGACAGCAUCAUCUAAGACCACACCAUUAUUAGCAGUGUGCACUCUUUGGAUAAGUUUGGAGGGAAAAGCUAUACCAGUUCUCACUUCACAAUAGUGUUUUGCUGAGAAUAAACAAUCAACAACAAAAAAAAUCUAACUUAAG